rnacentral:tRNA from 1 species
GGGAAUAGCUCAGUGGUAGAGCAUCACCUUGCCAAGGUGGGGGUCGCGGGUUCAAGUCCCGUUUCCC